rnacentral:rRNA from 1 species
UCGAAACCUGCAAAGCAGACCGCGAACACGUUCACAACAACCCCGGCGUCGCGGAGCGGGGGCGACCCCGCGACGCGUCCCGCUAACAAACUCGGGCGCGGAAUGCGCCAAGGAAAACGAAAUGGAGCGCUCCCUCCCGACGCGCAUCGAUGAAGAACGCAGCGAAAUGCGAUACUUGGUGUGAAUUGCAGAAUCCCGUGAACCAUCGAGUCUUUGAACGCAAGUUGCGCCCGAAGCCAUUAGGCCGAGGGCACGCCUGCCUGGGCGUCACGCAUCGCGUCGCCCCCUCACCCCGUCUCCGGGGGGGUGCCGGGGCGGAGAUUGGCCCCCCGUGCGCAGCGAUGCGCGCGGCCGGCCCAAACCAGAAUCCGCCGUCGACGCGCGUCGCGACCAGUGGUGGUUGAACACUCAACUCUCGUGCUGUCGCGCCCCGCAGCGCCGUCGGUCCGGAGACCUCCCCAACGGAGCGAUCCUCGAAUCGCGCCCACGACCGCGACCCCAGGUCA